rnacentral:lncRNA from 1 species
GAACAGGAUUCAGCAGAUCAAAGUUUCCCAGCAUCUGUGAUAGUCUGAGGCCAGCAGGAGGGAAGGAAAACAAAGACUCUCAACCCCAGCCCCAGGUGUCAUGAACAUUCAUGGGGGAGAAAGGGAGCAGAGAGUGUUGAGUCUCUGAAGAGGGGACAGUGGAAAACAGCUCUAAGCAGAAAUUGCCGGCUUCACUUCACUUCUGUGCCUUUUCCCUCUGCUGUCUCCUGAAUUACAUUUGUUUUUCCACAAAAGAAAAAGAAAGAAAGAAAGAAAGAAAGAGAAGGAUUCUUCUGCCUUUGAUGAGUGUUCACAAAUUGUAAAAACUUCCAUGAAGCAUGAACAAGUAUCAAUGUUUCACCUUGGAACAGGGAACCAAAAUAGUACAUAAAGCUCUAUUAUCACAUGAUCCAGCAACCUCACUACUGGGUGAUUGCCCAAAGGAAAAGAAAUCAUUAUAUCAAAAAGAUCCCUGCACACGUGUUUAUCACAGCACCAUUCACAAGAGCAAAGAUAUGAAAUCAACCUCAGUGUCCAUCAGUGGAUGAUUGGAUAAAUCGAAUGUGGUAUAUAUACACAAUGGAACACUACACAGCCAUACAAAAUAAAAUCAUGUAUUUUGCAGCAACAUGGCUAGAACGGGAGGCCAUUAUCUUAAGUGAAAUAACUCAGAAACAGAAAGUCAAAUACUGCAUGCUUUCACUAAUAAGUGGGAGAUAAAUAAUGUGUCCACAUGGACAUCCAGCGUGGAAUAAUAGACAUUGGAGACUCAGAAGGGCAGGAGGCUGAGGGGGUGAGGGAUGAGAAAUUAUUUAAUGGGUACAAUGUACACUAUUCAGGUGAUAGAUACAUUAAAAGCCCAAACUUUACCACUAUGCAAUAUAUCCAUGUAACUGCACUUGUAUCCCUUAAAUUUAUACAAAUAAAAAAAAUAAGCUUCUACAUAUACUUUGCACCAACCCAUUGUAUUUUACUUCCCAUCAGUAGAAAUACAAUUCUCUCUUUUACUUGAGGUAAAAAAAAAAAAAAAAAAUUCGUUGUUGUUAUUGUUUGUUUUGUUUUGUUUCUACGAUGAGAAAUACCAGUUCAUGGCAUUGCUGAGGGGAGGCUACAUGAACAGUAAGCAGUCAAAGCUGCAACAAAUAGAAUAAUUAAUAAGACUUGGUCUACCCAAAGAGACAGCAGGACCCAUGAUGGAGAAGGUGCGUGUGAAUGAAAUCACCCCAGCAAGGCGUGUGCAUUGGUUUCCUGGAGGGCUGCCAUCACAAAUUACUACACACUGCAUGGCUUAAACUAAUGGAGAUUUAUUCUCUCAGCCUUCUGGAGGCCAGAAGCAUCUGAAAUCAAGGGAUCAGCAGGAUGGGUUCCUUCUGGAUGCUCUAGGAAACACUCUGUUUAUGACACUUCUGCUUCUGGUGGUUGCCAGCCAUUCUUGACAUUCUUUGACUUGUAGAUGCAUCACUCCAAUCUCCAUCUCCAUCUUCACAUGGUCUUUUUCUUUAUAUCUCUCUGUGUCCUCUCCUCUUCUGUUUAUUUAUUUUUUCGAGACCCGGUUAUGAGACUGGCUAAUUUUUGUAUUCUGUAUUUUUUGUACAAAAGAUGUUUCACCAUGUUGCCCAGACUGGUUUCAAACUCCUGGGCUCAAGCUAUCCAGCUGCCUCAGCCUCCCAAAGUGCUUGGAUUACAGGCAUGAGCCACCACACCCAGUCCUCCUCUCCUCUUCUUAUAAGGGUGUCAGUCAUUAAAUUUAGGGCCUACUUAACCUGCAAAGAUUCUACUUCCCGAUAACGACACAUUGUGAAGUUCCAGAUGGCCAUGAAUUAUGAAUUAUCAGUGGAGAAUACUACUUAGCUCACUACAACCUGCAAAAGUGCAAGAACACACCUUCUGUAAUCUUCUGUGACCAGAGGAGGGAAAGAGACUCAAAAAGAUUGGAAGGGCUGAGGCUGAGAAAUGGAGUGAAUUUCCUAUGGGUGACUUUUCCAUUUCCAGGAAGUAUGUGGUAAGAUUAUGAAGGGGAUCAGAAUAUGCCACCCCAAAAUAUGACACUUUGGUGCAAGCAUUAUUUUGAGCUAAAGGCUACUGAGUAAAAGUAGACACAGGACAAGCUUUCUACCCUCCCACUUUCUGCUUAAAAGCAGGGCAUAUGUUUUCCAUUUGAAAAGAAAAUUCAUUUGUAAAGAAAAAUUUCAUUUAUAAAGGUGUUCUCUCAUGGAUGAUUCCAGAGAUAGAGAUUAUCACCUGAGAUGACUUGAGUCUAUAUAAUAAUCUAUACUUACCAGGCAUUUUCUAGUCACCUUCUACAAACUUACCCCUAUCCUAGAAGCUUAAAUUCCAUUUGCCUUUGUCUAGUUCUUUAUCUAAACUUUGUCGCCCUGUGUUAAGAUGGUAUAUAAUCCCCUAGGCCCAAGCACCUCUUUGGGGUUCUCACUUCUUUUCCAUGUGUCUCUCCACGUGCACACAAAAUAAACCAUUUCUUC